rnacentral:lncRNA from 1 species
AGAAAAUCCUGGGUAGGAAACAAGCCAUGUUUAAAGUCUACUAUGGCUACUGAUAGCACCAACAUCCAUUAACUUAACUCUCACUGAUCCCACCCAUGCAUCCAGAGGCAGCAGUAUGGAGAACGUGGAGGAGGCAGACGCUGCUGUACUAACAUCUCCACAUAGUGCCAAUGUUCCAAGUGCUGGAAACAGGAGGCAGUUUCAUUGCACAAGCCAGGAUACGAUGGAAGAAACAUUUUCUUUUUAAAGGUAACAUUGAAAUAAGUUAGUCAUUUCACCCUUAGAACUGAUGUAUUAUAUAUAUCUAGACAAUAUGUACACAGGUAGAAUAGUCCUCUAAGAACUGAAUGAGAAUAUGAAGGAGAAAUAUCCAUUUCACAGAAAGCACAUUUCUUCAUAGUGAAAACUACAGUGUAAUUUUCACACUGAGAUACACUCCUGUGUUAGGAUCUCCAGCAGUUACAUUGACAGUAUCAUUUCUUUAGCCACCCUAUUCCAUGUUUCCAUGGAUCUCAGGGUUAAUUUUGUGUGACAGUCUAGAAUGAGGACUCUGUA